rnacentral:rRNA from 1 species
GUCGAACGAGGUGCUUGAGUAGCAAUACAAGAGUAUCCUAGUGGCGAACGGGUGAGUAACGCGUUGGUGACCUACCCCAAAGUGUGGGAUAACAGUUCGAAAGAACUGCUAAUACCGCAUGUGGUUAUCGGAUUUAGAAACUGAUAACUAAAGGAGCAAUUCGCUUUGGGAGGGACCUGCGUCCCAUCAGCUAGUUGGUGAGGUAAUGGCUCACCAAGGCUACGACGGGUAGGGGACCUGAGAGGGUGACCCCCCACAAUGGGACUGAAACACGGUCCAUACACCUACGGGUGGCAGCAGUAGGGAAUAUUGCACAAUGGGCGAAAGCCUGAUGCAGCAACGCCGCGUGUGCGAUGAAGGCCCUCGGGUCGUAAAGCGCUUUUCUGAGGGAUGAGCAAGGACAGUACCUCAGGAAUAAGUCUCGGCUAACUACGUGCCAGCAGCCGCGGUAAAACGUAGGAGGCAAGCGUUAUCCGGAUUCACUGGGCGUAAAGCGCGUGCAGGCGGUUCGGUAAGUUGGGUAUGAAAUCUCCUGGCUUAACUAGGAGAGGUUAUCCAAUACUACCGGACUUGAGAGUGAUAGAGGAAGAUGGAAUUCCCGGUGUAGUGGUGAAAUGCGUAGAUAUCGGGAGGAACACCAGUGGCGAAAGCGAUCUUCUGGAUCAUUUCUGACGCUCAGACGCGAAAGCUAGGGUAGUAAACGGGAUUAGAGACCCCGGUAAUCCUAGCCGUAAACGAUGUAAACUUGGCGU